rnacentral:misc_RNA from 1 species
UACGGAGGGUGCAAGCGUUGUCCGGAUUUAUUGGGUUUAAAGGGUGCGUAGGCGGCUAAUUAAGUCAGUGGUGAAAGCCCGCAGCUCAACUGUGGAAUUGCCAUUGAUACUGACUAGCUUGAGUUUGGUUGAGGUAGGCGGAAUGGAUGGUGGAGCGGUGAAAUGCAUAGAUAUCAUCCAGAACACCGAUAGCGAAGGCAGCUUACUGAGCCGAAACUGACGCCGAGGCACGAAAGCAUGGGGAUCGCAACGG